AUAAACAAAGACACUAUGAUCGGUGUUCAGACAAAAUCGGGUGUUUGUAAGUGUGAUAACUUCCUCUGCGUUGCGUUUCAGAGAUGAGCUUCCGCGUAGUCUUCGAAGAAGGCAUCCUCAUCCUGAAAGUAACAUUUGAAUCAGUGCAUAUCUCUCAACAAAUGGACGAAAAUGAGGAUCCUCGAGAAGAGCC